CCUACGGGGGGCAGCAGUGGGGAAUAUUGGGCAAUGGGCGCAAGCCUGACCCAGCAACGCAGCGUGAAGGAAGAAGGCUUUCGGGUUGUAAACUUCUUUUUUCAGGGACGAAGAACGUGACGGUACCUGAGGAAUAAGCCACGGCUAACUACGUGCCAGCAGCCGCGGUAAUACGUAGGUGGCAGGCGUUCUCCGGAUUUAGUGGGUGUAAAGGGCGUGUAGGCGGGAAUGCAAGUCAGAUGUGAAAACCACGGGCUCAACCUGUGGCCUGCAGUUGGAACUGUAGUGCUUGAGUACGGGGGAGGCAGACGGAAUUCGUAGUGUAGCGGUGAAAUGCGUAGAUAUUAGGAGGAACACCAGUGGCGAAGGCGGUCUGCUGGACAGCAACUGACGCUGAGGCGCGAAAGCGUGGGGAGCAAACAGGAUUAGAUACCCGAGUAGUC
rnacentral:rRNA from 1 species